AGGAAAACUGUAUGCCGGCAUUAAUGACCUUGGUGACGUGUACGAUGAAGUUAAAGCUCUUUUCACCAAGCAGGGUGUUGACUUCAAGAACAGCGUCCAGAACACUGG
rnacentral:lncRNA from 1 species